GGGGGCGUAGCUCAGUUUGGUUAGAGCGUCUCCCUGUCACGGAGAAGGCCGCGGGUUCGAGUCCCGUCGCUCCCGCCC
rnacentral:tRNA from 1 species